rnacentral:tRNA from 1 species
CGAGCACUAGCUCAAUGGUAGAGCUCCUGCUUCGUAUGCUGGAAGACCUGGGUUCGAUUCCUGGUUGCUUAC